AGUUUUCCUAGCGAUUCAUAAAGAUUUUAACAAUUUGUAUUUUUUUAUUUAUUUAUUUAUUUUAUUUCUAAGACAAUUAAAAAAUUGUUAACUCUUAUUUUUACUUACUGGUAGACGCAAGAUGCUGCAGUAACGAUAAAUCGAGAAUUAUAGAUGAAACCUCCGCAAAUAUGAUUGUCAUUAAAGGUCACCUAGUUAUUUUUAAUUAUAACAAUGGUCAUGAAUGCAUGUGAUCAUUUCUUCUUUACAGGUAUUACCGAAACCAUGAAAGGAUAACGUCCUGCGUCAACGGCGCCAUUCUCGGCUCCAUUGAAGCCAUUAGAAAUGCGACCAAAUGGGUUGCUAACCGGUACAACUUCGAAAUUUUUUAUAUGGAAAUGGUAAUCAUCAUACCACCUUAAUUUUCAAGAAAUGAUUUACAUCGAUCCUUAUGAAAGGCGGAUCAUCUAGUGUUGUUGUUUGCUGACAGUCAAAACUUUACUGACUUGUAAUAUUUCGCUCCUACUUCAGUUUCAACUUUUGAGAAUUAUCCUCUUCGACUUUUGAAACGUGCGACGAAUCUACGUGGCCAGAUUCUUCAUAUUGGCAAAAGAGAUGAUCGUAUUUCUAGUUCCCAACAUGUAAUCGGAUUGAACUGAAGAGGACAACUAGAGAGGCAUCGCAGUUCAUAGGUGAGUAAAAAAAAAUAAUUUAUAAUUCUGCUUUUUGCUGUUCCUGCACUUUUGUUCAAUGAUUACACGAAGAUAAUACUCUUGCUCCACCUGUCGCACCAUCGACCGGUAGCCGAAAUAGCCACCCCUUAACGCCACGUAGAGAAAUGCUCUAUGUAAUUAAACCACUUAGCAUUCUUACAGUUAAACGCGGGCUGUGGACCACCAACCCUCAACAUCCAGUCAUUGUAGGCCGUUAGCCGAGUGUAAAUUGUUUCAAAGAGUUGGCUGUCACCGCAGCCCAAAUUUUUCGAUACUAUACCCAUGGCAUAAAUAUCGUGGCAGAGGUUGGAUAAAACAAUGGCGAACCUUCAUCGAAUUGACAUGGUCGCAUCCCAAAGUCCAACUCUAUGUCACCGAAACGAUGAAAGGAUAACGUCCUGCAGUGACAUCAGACAGCGCACAUUCUGAGCGCCAUUAUAUCCGUUAGAAAUGCGACCAGUUGCGUCGCUUAGAGGUUCAACUUCAACUUUUUACGUUAAAAGACGAAAAAAGCAAAAAUCACAAUUCGAUACAUGAUGCCAAACUGACCCAUAGGCAAUGCGGAUGCCUCUUUUGAAAGAUUGGACGAUAGUAUUGACGCCAUACCGUCUUGUUUACCUGCCACAAGGUUAUUUGAAAAGACCCGGCUGAUGCUGUAUUUUGUGUAAUUCCAUUUGGACAUCAACAAAUAGAGCCACAUUCCAGCUAUGUAAAAGGGAAAAAGAUGUAAACCAAGCUUCCUAAGUUUUUAAGAAAUUCGGUAUAGGAUUCUAGAUGAAGCCAAACAAUGAUUCGCGCUCGAACAAGAUGUUCGUACCUGUAUGUCCCAAAGAUGACCUUCUACGUGGAUUGGAGCCGGGGAGACGUCGCAAUUUAUCGGCAAAAUUCAACGAUGCUGUUAAUUUUUAACGAUCUGAUGUUGCAUCCGAAUUUGCCACGAGCAAACGACCUACCAUGAUGGGAAAACGAAUAAAUCAACUUCAAGGUUUUUUUCCUGUUUCGAAUGUGCAUCAGCGCGCAGCGGACAUUGAACCUUAGAUGCUCAUUCAGUUCCUCCGUACUUGUUCUCUACAAGAAAAUGGUUUGACUUUCUUGGACUUUCAAAAGUUUGAACAUCACAUGGCCAGCUAGUGACCUUGCCUUCUUUAAAUGAACGUCCAAGCGCGAAAAAUUCGACGUUAUCUACUAACAAUCAAGAUCAACUGGUUUGGAAAUCAUCCAAAUAUUGGCCGUUGGGAUUAUGCAACGCAUCGGGCUGCGAUUUAAACCGCCAACUCCUCCUCUCGGGAUGUCUCAUCUGAUAACGUUUUGUCAACAAAAACGUCAUUAAAAUUUGUGUUUUCGUGGUUUUUACGUAACAGCCGCGAUCCUAUUAUGGCGAUAGAUGUCGGUAUAGUUUGCACCACUGCACUUUUGUUGACAGCAUUGAUUGGAUGAUCGGAACCGGAACAAAACAUGGGGAUGAUGUAUAACAUCCACGUCGAAAUCGAUUUUCAAGAGUUCAUCGAUAAAUCGAUGUGGUUGUCUAGCGAAUGCCGCGGCUUUUCCGUAACUUCAACAAGGUCACGCAAAUCCCAGAGCCUCGUGUGUACAGAAAAGAUGAAAAAGAAAAAGCGACACGAGUCACGAGGAACGAGUUUGGACAAAAGUGCAAGGCAACCGAGUUGUUAAAAAUCGAUACACGUGAACUAAAUUGAAAUGUUGGAAACAACUGAUGAAACUUUGCAUGUCACAGGUUGAAUGAACUCAGAAAGCGACGAAUCAACGUGCAGAAAUCUAUCGGACUUUUCGAUCGAGCUUCAGUUACCAUCGGGAAUAUCGUUCUGGAAAAUACUCAAUUUCCUCCUACACCGCCUACAUUUUUUUGACGUCCAAUCUCUGCGAGCGGGCGAAAGUAGAACCGAGAGCGGGUUGCUUAUAAUGAGACCGUUCCCCGAAGGAAAUUGUGUGCCAGCCGCCUAGCCUUUUUUUUUUUUUUUCUACUUCCCUUUUUCUCUCCCGCCUUUCAUCCGUUGGUCGUCAUCACGUGUGUGUUGGCUGCGUUGAAAAGGGGAGAAAAAAAAGAUGGAGAAACAUGUACGCAUUUGAAGCGAAUGGAAUACAGACAAGAGAAACAGCUGCGUGUGGAAGCAGCAGCUCCGAUCGAUAAAAUCUACUGGCCCGCAGAAUAGAAAUAUAGGCUAGUAUAAAUGCUGUGUGAUAAGAACGACAUAUGGACUCGUGUUUGUAGUAGACGAGUCUUUUGUUUUUUUGUACAAGAAUCUCAUUGUUUGCGAUAUCGUCGCUAUGUUUCGUGUUAUGUCUACCAGAAAAAUGAGCUCAUUUUUGUCCAAGAGUCCAAACAAUCAAACUAAAUUCUAUCCCUCUGGCCAAAGAUCAGCAAGACUGGACUUGUGUUUGUCCAUACAAGAUGAGUCAAUAAGCGCAUGAUAAAUGCCUUACACAGAAAUAAUUCUAAACGUAGAGAAAACGUUAUUCGUUUCUUUUUAAUUACAAGUAAACUACCAUGAAAAGUGUAACAAUUCACAGCGGGAAGGUGGUACGAAUUCUUCUCGAAAUUCUAUAUUCCCCUUUCUCCUUGUGUACCUUUUGAAACUACGUCAUACGUACGAGAUGAAAGCCCCGGAACAAACACAUGGCAUUCGUACGACUUCUUU